ensembl:lncRNA
GGAGGGUUUUGACAACCUGGUCCCUGGAUAUUGAUGCCUUAAGGCAUCCCUCUGAGGCUCCAUCAUCCCAAGGGAUUAGCCUGAGCACAGGUCUCAUCUUCCUAGGGCCCUCAGACUCCCAUCCUCUUCCCAGUUGGGGAGUUCCCCACUCUGCCCCCAGUCAGAAGCUUUGGUCUCCAGCUCUGCAAGCCCCUUCCUCUGUCCCCUAGCCCCUAGGGAGUGAGAUGGAGUGAAAUCUCCCCUUAGAGGGUCUUUGGACACCCAUACUCAUCGCUCCUUCUGGGGUGGAGAACAAAAUGCCAAUGGCCCCAGCUGUUUCAGACCAAUUUUUUUUUUAAUAAAAAACAAUUUUUUUAAGAUAAUGGGAAUUCCUGGUUAGCAUAGUGAUUAAGAUUCUGGGCUUUCAUUGCUGUGGCCCAGGUUCAAUCCCUAGUCAGGGAAAUGAGAUCCUAUGGGCCCCACGGCGCAGCCAACAAUAACAACAACAAAAAAAAACGUAAAGUUAGCAACCAUGAUCAUUUCAUCACCCUAAAUUUAGGUACAAACCACUUUAAUAUUCAUAUUCUCAUGCACUCACAACAACCCUCUAAGGUAGAGCAUCUUAAUCCAUUUGACAGGCGAGAAAAGUGAGGCUCAGGAAGCGCGAGUGACUUGCCUAAGGUCAAAGGCUCCUAGCCAGCAUGGCCAGGAAUUGAACCCGAGGGCUUGUGGCUCCAUGUAUAAUGUUUAUCCGCAUACACUACAGUGCCCCCUGCCCCCCCACCACCACACCUUGGUGCCUUCCCAUAGCUGUUAAAGACCCAGUGGAGACAAAUACAUUUUUUAUAUUUAUAAAUAAAUUUAUAUACAAAUAAAUAUACAGAUUUUGCAUACAAAUUUGUAUACAAUAAUUUUGUAUACAAAAUAUAUUUUGUAGAAAUAUACAAAUACACAAAUUUAUAUAGCAAAAAUAUACAAAUAAAUAAAUAAACCUUCCAUGCCUGGAGAACAAACUGAAAUAUACCACUCACUUCCCAGACGAGUUUUUUAAGGAGACCACAUCUUUGCUACCAGAAGCCAUAGAGGGGAGGGAUCAAGCAGCGCCAGUUCAUAGACCAGUCACUGGUAAUUGCAUGACCUGGAGCAAGUUAUUUACCCUCUAUGGGCCUCAGAUUUCUCAUCUGCAAAAUGGCAAUUAGAACAGGAUUGAUGGGCUUCCCUGGUGGCUCAGUGGUAAAGAAUCUGCCUGUCAGUGCAGGAGAGACAGGUUUGAUGCCUGGUACAGGAAGAUCCCACAGGCAACAGAGCAACUAAACCCAUGCACCACAACUCCUGAGCCUGUGCUCUAGAGCCCAAGAGCCACAACUACGGAGCCCACGUGCUGCAACUACUGAAGCCGGAGCACCACAGAGCCCAUGCUCUGCAACAAAGAAGCCACCGCUAUGAGAAGCCUGCGCACCGCAGCUAGAGAAUAGCCCCAUUCACUGCAACUAGAGAAAAGCCUGCACAGCAACGAAGACUCAGCACAGCCAAAAACAUUUUUUAAGUUACAAACAACAACAAAAAAAAGAACAGGGUUGUUAAGAGGAUGACAUGAACUCCUCUGUGUGAAGCUCUUAGACCAGUACCUGACACAUAGGGCUUGAUAAACGUUAAACUAGCCUCAAUACUACUACAAAGCAGAGACACAAAAGCCCUCAGCCAAACUGAAGCUACCAACCACAUCAGCUCAGAGAAGACAAAGAUGUUUUGCAAAAUCUACCUCCACCAGGUAGGUCCUGACAGUCCUUGGCCAGUGGACCAAUCUUCGCAUUUAUAACCCUAACUUGGCAGGAUGAAGAGUUUCUGGAAGACGGUAAAGUGUGGGUUCAGGUAGCUCCACGCUGUCACUGAGACUGGCCUGGAAUUCCCUCUUGCCAAUAGCAUCUCCUCCUUGCUUGCCAGAACAGACCACCCAGUGCUGAAUGCUGUUGACUGGCCUCAUUAUGUAUGUGUAUGUGAGUCACUCAGUCAUGUCUGACUCUUUGGAACCCCAUGGACUAUAGCCCGCCAGGCUCCUCUGUCCAUGGAAUUCUCCAGGCAAGAAUAUUGAAGUGGGUAACCAUUCCCUUCAGGGGAUCUUCCCAACCCAGGGAUCGAAACCAGGUCUCCUGCAUUGGAGGCAGAUUCUUUACCGUCUCAGCCACCAGGGAAACCCAAGCCUCAUGGUGAACAAGACCUUUUUUUUUUCACUAGAGAAGCAACAUGGCUUUGAUAAAAAGCCCAGACUCUGGAGUUAAGAGAUGCUAUAUAUAAAUGCCAGUUCA